GCCGACGUAGCUCAGUUGGUAGAGCAGCUGAUUUGUAAUCAGCAGGUCGCGGGUUCGAGUCCCAUCGUCGGCU
rnacentral:tRNA from 1 species